GUGAGUCGUCAGCGUUGUUGGCGGAUCCUAUGGGUGAGGAGCCAUGCUUCUACCAACUUUGGGGGCUUUUCAGUCUUAGAAGCCCUUUCACAAUUGAGAUUCUCCAUUUUUAAAGCCCCAGAGGCAAUCUGCAAAGGUUGUGUCUGCGGUGGGACACCUGAGGCUGAAUCUACAGAGGAAGAAGCAUGGCUCGCUGCUCCCCAGGGAGCUCUGCAGAGAAGAGAGACGGUGAGAGUACACCCAGUGGGCCGCCCUGUCUGCCCAACUUUGCACCAGGGGGCCGGAGGGGAUGUCCAGUGUUCAGGUGUCAUCUUAUAGCUGGUCACAGGUCUUGACAACCUCUGACUUGGAGCAGUGAGAAGAUCCACUGACUAUUAGUCUGUAAAUGAUGUUAUUUCCUCACCUCACUGAAUUAUGAAUACUUCUGUAUAUGUGAAUUCAUUGAGCCCAUUGAGGACUAUUCAUGACUGGCCAUCUCUGCUGCUCUAUUUCUUCCAAUAACCAGCUCUUUUAAAAUGUUUGAGUCAUGAGUCUUUCAAAUGUAAAAUUUAUCUUAGAGUAUGAUGAUGAUCAUCCUUUUCCACCGAUAUGAGGUAUAUGUAUAUUUGGUAGACAUAGGGAUCUUACCGAAAUAGUAAAGAGAAAUCUUAAGCAGAUAAAACUCUUCAUGUAUAAGCUAGGAGCAAUCUAAAAUAUUUGUCCCUCCACAAAAAAAUCAUAUAUAUGUAUAUAUAUAUAAUAUAUGUAGUUGAGUAUCUAGCAGUGUAAUUUAGUAUUUUACUGAUCAUCUGAUAUCUCAUUAGAAUGAAUAUAUAACUCCAACUUCAACUGGGUAGUUCUAUUAACUGUCUUCAAUCCUCUUCAAGGAUUGCUGUCUAAGGCUUUCAUUUAGAUAAUAAUGGCCCUUCUUCAAGUCCAAAAAAAAAAAAAAUGUUUUUAAGCACUAGCUAUUUCUCUAGGAGUUAAGAAAUAUGUUUACCUUAUAGUAACACACACAAUCAGGAGUCUCUCCCCUGGCUUUUUCCCCUUACUUGCAAAAAUCUUUAUAAAAAGACAUCUUGCUUGGAAAAAG
rnacentral:lncRNA from 1 species